rnacentral:lncRNA from 11 species
GUAGAAUCUCACUUAUCCAACGUGCUGGAUUAUCCAACACAUUUUGUAGUCAAUGUUUUCAAUAUAUCGUGAUAUUUUGGUGCUAAAUUCGUAAAUACAGUAAUUACUACAUAACAUUACUGCGUAUUGAACUACUUUUUUCUAUCAAAUGUGUUGUUUGACAUGAUGUUUUGGUGCUUAAUUUGUAAAAUCAUAACCUAAUUUGAUGUUUAAUAGGCUUUUCCUUAAUCCCUCCUUAUUAUCCAAGAUAUUCGCUUAUCCAAGCUUCUACCGGCCCGUUUAGCUUUCAUAAUGUUUAGCCUUCUUAGUGCUAAAUGCCACUUCCAAAUUAAUUUAUAAUGAUUUUCUUUACUUUUUUUCUAUUUCCCCUUUUUAAUAUUUUAGCAGUGACACUCCAGGCGGAAUCGACCCCAAAACCAACCUCAACACAACAUGUAACUUUAUUAAAUACGACCCCAACUGGGCUGUCGGUCUCCAGCCCCAUGGCGCCAAUGACAAGCAGUCCGACCGCCACGACAUGGUCAGAAACCUCCCAGAGUCCCAAGCCUCCGGAAACCACUGACGACAACGGCACCACAAGCCACAGCACCACAGGAAUUGAGACAUCCACAUCUUUCGCCGGGUCCACAAAGCCACUCACAAGCCAAGAGGCUGCGACAACCUCUGGCAACACAACGGCCACUGGUGACGAGGACGACUCUCGCCUCUCCGAGAAGCCGGGCCUUGUAGCCGUCAUUUGCAUUUUCCUCACCGUUCUGCUCAUUGGCGCCGUGGUGGUGGUGGUGAAGUGUUUCCGGGCAAGGGAAUCAUCCUUCCAGAAACUGGACGAGGUGCCCAUGGUGAGUGGCCGUUGUUGGAGGCAGGAUGAUGUGUAGCAGAGUGUAAUCCAAAACAUCAUCCCGGUCUCACCUCCUUCUCCAGACUGUCUUCCCAUGUGGAUAAACAGCACUGGUCAAACACACUCCAGCAGACGAGGGUUCGGUUGAAAAUCCAACGGCUAUAAGCUUUAUUUACAUAACUAUAUACAAAUAGAGCAAUUCAGUCCUUCCUCCGUGAGUGCUCAUGCCGAAGCAACUCACACGCACACUGGAAACUCCUCUGCAUUCCACAGUCCAAGAAGGAAGUCCCGGUCAAAACAAACUUGACCCCAUUGGUCCUGUGAUACGUCAAUCAUAGCAGGCUCUCAUUAACUCCAUAACUACUGGAAUGCCUUGCCGAAAACUAACACAGAAGGCAUUUCUAACAACCCAGAUUGAUUUUAACAUUUCACAAUACACAAUACCCUGACAGCCGUUGCCAUAAGGAGAAGUAAGCGGGCAGAGGGAGGGAGGAAGCUGGGUUCCAAAAAUGUACGGGUUGUUUCUCAACAUCUCAGGGUUGAAGAAGUGUUGAUGUCUUUUGGAUUGCACUAUAGACUUCAUCCCACUGAACAUGGCAAGUGUUAGAAAUAGUAGGUUUAUCUCUGUGUUGAGUACACAGGGUAUCAUUCUUAAUCAAUUGUCUAUAGUCUUUAAGUAUAAUUGUACUCAUUGAAGUCCAAAAGAAAACAUGCAUCCACCUCCACUGAGGUUUAAAGCAGACUGAAUACAAAACGGAGUCCUGAAUCUGAACAUGCUCAGUACAAUCAAACGUCUAUAGCCCUUCCCACACCAUAGAGGUCAGUCAAACUGGCAAAUCAACAUACACAUAAAAUACAGGCACAUUUCUUAUUAGGAGUUGUCGCUUCUGGUGUGAGAGAAUUGGCCGUCUACAGAGACGUUGCCUAGGGGACACCAGGGUGUGUAAUUGGGAGGCUUCUCUCAUGUCCCCGCAAACUAGAGCUGACAAACGGAAGCCCACUCCAUCUCACAGAUUUGAACCAGCAACCUUCUGGUCACAGGCACAUUCCUUAUUAAAAUUCAGUUAUAG